GAAGCCUAAAUGGGCCAAUUUGGGUAGAGUAAUGUUUGAUUCUUCUGUCUCUAAGGACUCUGCAACUACAGUAGCAUCACCGGCAUCUUUGUCGAUAUCCACCUUGAAUUCAUUGAAGUUUCAGUUGCCCAGUUUCAUAUCUUGGGUUGCCAACGACGGAAUUCAGAAGGACUCUUCCUCUGCGCCGCCUAGCCUUAGGCAUGAUUUCAGUUCUUCACAGUUGCAAAAGGAUAAAUCCGGCA
rnacentral:misc_RNA from 1 species